rnacentral:rRNA from 2 species
GGCUCAGGACGAACGCUGGCGGCGUGCCUAAUACAUGCAAGUCGAGCGAUCGAUGGGAGCUUGCUCCCUGAGAUUAGCGGCGGACGGGUGAGUAACACGUGGGCAACCUGCCUAUAAGACUGGGAUAACUUCGGGAAACCGGAGCUAAUACCGGAUACGUUCUUUUCUCGCAUGAGAGAAGAUGGAAAGACGGUUUACGCUGUCACUUAUAGAUGGGCCCGCGGCGCAUUAGCUAGUUGGUGAGGUAAUGGCUCACCAAGGCGACGAUGCGUAGCCGACCUGAGAGGGUGAUCGGCCACACUGGGACUGAGACACGGCCCAGACUCCUACGGGAGGCAGCAGUAGGGAAUCUUCCGCAAUGGACGAAAGUCUGACGGAGCAACGCCGCGUGAACGAAGAAGGCCUUCGGGUCGUAAAGUUCUGUUGUUAGGGAAGAACAAGUACCAGAGUAACUGCUGGUACCUUGACGGUACCUAACCAGAAAGCCACGGCUAACUACGUGC